GACGAACGCUGGCGGCGUGCUUAACACAUGCAAGUCGAACGGAAAGGCCCCCUUGUGGGGUACUCGAGUGGCGAACGGGUGAGUAACACGUGAGUAACCUACCCUUUACUUUGGGAUAACUUCAGGAAACUGGGGCUAAUACCGGAUAGGAGCUCCUGCUGCAUGGGGGGGGUUGGAAAGUUUCGGCGGUUGGGGAUGGACUCGCGGCUUAUCAGCUUGUUGGUGGGGUAGUGGCUCACCAAGGCUUUGACGGGUAGCCGGCCUGAGAGGGGGACCGGCCACAUUGGGACUGAGAUACGGACCAGACUCCUACGGGAGGCAGCAGUGGGGAAUAUUGCACAAUGGGCGGAAGCCUGAUGAAGCAACGCCGCGUGCGGGAUGACGGCCUUCGGGUUGUAAACCGCUUUCGCCUGUGACGAAGCGUGAGUGACGGUAAUGGGUAAAGAAGCACCGGCUAACUACGUG
rnacentral:rRNA from 1 species